UUAAGUGACGAUAGCCUAGGAGAUACACCUGUACCCAUGCCGAACACAGCAGUUAAGCCCUAGAACGCCUGAAGUCUAAGCUACUGUAGACUUCAUUUACUUCUGUAAGGGUGGAAGUGGUCUCUUUUU
rnacentral:rRNA from 1 species